ACGCACGCUAAGAAGCUCCGACCCAGGAUGGACAUAGGCUAGAAUCUUCCCGAGUCUCUCUCCAGAGUCUUUUCUGGGUCUUCAGACUCUUCCCACGGCUGCUGACUACGGAUUCAAAAGUGGGCUUUCCAAAAGGCAGAAGAGGAAUCUGAAUGUCUUGAGAGCUGAGGCAGGAGUGGACCUGCCGCCUCUUCCAUCUCAUUCCCAUGGCUAUAAGUAAUAAAUACAGAGAAUCUAUGAA